UGGGGGAUAUUGCACAAUGGGCGAAAGCCUGAUGCAGCGACGCCGCGUGGGGGAUGAAGGCUUUCGGGUUGUAAACCUCUUUCGCUAUCGAACAAGGCCCGCUUAGGGUGGGUUGAGGGUAGGUGGAGAAGAAGCGCCGGCUAACUACGUGCCAGCAGCCGCGGUAAUACGUAGGGCGCGAGCGUUGUCCGGAAUUAUUGGGCGUAAAGGGCUUGUAGGCGGCUUGUUGCGCCUGCUGUGAAAACGCGGGGCUUAACUUCGCGCGUGCAGUGGGUACGGGCAGUCUUGAGUGUGGUAGGGGUGACUGGAAUUCCAGGUGUAGCGGUGGAAUGCGCAGAUAUCUGGAGGAACACCGAUGGCGAAGGCAGGUCACUGGGCCAUUACUGACGCUGAGGAGCGAAAGCAUGGGUAGCGAACAGG
rnacentral:rRNA from 1 species